rnacentral:rRNA from 1 species
UACGAAGGGUGCAAGCGUUACUCGGAAUUACUGGGCGUAAAGCGUGCGUAGGCGGUUUGUUAAGUCUGCUGUGAAAGCCCCGGGCUCAACCUGGGAACUGCAGUGGAUACUGGCAAGCUAGAGUGUGUCAGAGGAUGGUGGAAUUCCCGGUGUAGCGGUGAAAUGCGUAGAGAUCGGGAGGAACAUCAGUGGCGAAGGCGGCCAUCUGGGACAACACUGACGCUGAGGCACGAAAGCGUGGGGAGCAAACAGG